UGCUGCCCACCGCCCACCAGCCCCGCAGCCCCGCCGCCCACCACCCGCCUGCAACCAGCGACUCACCACCCAUGGGCAGCACCUUUCCCUUGGCUGUGGGGAAGGACCUGGGUUUCUCGUAGGCGGCGCCAUACAGACGGGACCUGCUGGCAGGACGUGGCAGGUCACAGGCGAGUCCCCACGGAGGCCUCACAGCCCGGCUCCAAGGAUCCCCGAGAAGCCCCGGUAAGGCCAAUCCUGUAAACCACACGGCCCCCGGCAGGGGCCCCUCCCCACCCACCCCCACGCAUGCCUCAGUGGGCCAGGCUGGCCACACUCUGCCACCUGGCUCCCCCUCACUGCAGAGGCUCAGAGCUCGGCCCAGACCACCAAGGGCAGCUGUCCAGCCUCUGCCCCACCGUCCAGUGACCCGCAGGUCUGGACAUCCAGGCCCACCCAGACCAGACCCAAGGGCCCGUGCUGGAGACGGGUCACAGGGGGUGGCCCCUGCCCUCUCCAGCAGGAACAGGACAGGGACCUCAGGGUCCCUUGGCCACCCACCCCCACGUCCAGUGGGAGCCACCGUGUGUGUCCACACCCUUCUCGGGGCCAGCCAGGGCCUCUGCGGCACCCGAGGCCGCCGGGCGAGGGCUGAGUCUGCGCCUCCCUGCGCGGCCCGGCGCAGGAGUGAGGGGGCCGCACCUGUCCCGUGAGAGGUGCAGGAGGACGAUCCGAAUCGUAGGCGGAAUCUCGUUCAGGAAGUUGAAAUGUUGCUCCGUGACGCAGAGGUUUUGCCACGCCUGUGUUGGGACAAACAGGGAUCCGUGAAGCAUCCGGGAUGCAGGCCUGUCACUGCACCGCUGUCUGUGCUGCGCCCUGGGGGGGCCGCAGCCCCUCCGCCGCCCCCCGCUGACGUGUGACGGCCACACGGGGGCAGCAGAGGCAAAUCGCAGCUUGUCUGAACUUCAAGUUCUCCCCAGUUCUCAGGGGUCAGAAACCAGCUUUGCCUGAGGAAGUGCACAGGCACCCAAGGCAGAGCCGCGUGUGGAAGGUCCCCAGCACCUCCCUGCCGCCCUCUGUCCUCCCUGCUGCCUCCACACCACACGUGUAGACACGCGUGCACAGACAGCUGCACAGAUGCAUGCAUGCAGGGACACAUGCUCCCCCAGACACACCCACGCAUGCAGACGCAGGUAGACAUGCAGACACACGCCACUGUGUCCCAUCCACCCCCCGCCAGGGAAGGCCCUCUCUCCCCCGGGCCCCAAGGAGCUGGGCACAGCCCCCAAGCCGCCCGGCCGGGGUCCCGCAGUGGCUCCAGCCUGUCCGCCCGGGCCCCUGCUCCCGUGCGGGCUGUGCACUGACGGGCCCAGCCCAGACACGGCGCAUACCUCACAGCCCCCGCAGGCGGCCACAGCCUGCAGGUGGCUGCAAAAACAAACCCGUUGUUAGAAACCUUUUGUUGAAGUAGAACAUACAAGAGAAAGUGAUGUGACCACACGUGAAAAGCUCCAUAGGUUUUCACAGGGGCCACGCCGUGUGGCCAGGGGAGAGAGAGGCUGCUGCUGGCCACCCCACGUGGGCGGACGUGCAGUGGCUUCGGCUGGCAUUUGUCUGGCGUCUGCACUGCGUGGACACGGCACCACUUCGUAAUCCAGCCGAAGGCCAGGGGACAUCUGGCGGCUCCCUUCUCCGGCUGCUGUGAGAGCCACUGCGACAGACACCCAUCACACGCUCCUUGGGGACCACACAGAGGCCCCGCCACUGGGCACGGCCGGGCCCAUGGUGCUGAGGGCUGAGACUUCCAGGUGCCACCGUCCCACCUCCACGGGGCCACGUCCUCUGUUCCAUCUUAGCCAUGCCAACGUCUGUUUGCUGUGUGAACGUCUCCUCCUGUGACAUUCCAACCUCGUGCCAUUUUCCUUACUGGAAAUCGACGUACCCUCUAUUGGAGCAGGAUACAGACCGUCAUCCGCUGUGCCCCAGUGAAUGUCCUUUCCUGCUCUGGGCUCACCAUGUCACUCCUUGGAAGGCCAGGACUUCUUAAUUCCAGCGCAGUCCGACUCCCGUCUUCCCUACUGCGGCGUCUCCCUCAGCACAGGGCUUGCGUCCAGGCCAGGCAGGGGCUCCCGCAGGGCCGUGUGGGUGGACGAGAGCCACACACACACGGUCACUUUCAGGUCAUCGUUGCAGAAGACGCUGCUGCGGCGACUCAGGGCCUCGGAGCCAGGGCGCUGGCGGAAGCAGAGAGGCAGCCAGCGGCCGGGAGACGUCCCUCCCUUAACCCACAGACGUGGGCAUAGCCCGCGACUCGGUGCUCCAUCCUGCUUCCCGAGGACGUCUGUGGUUUGCAGUGGGCUGGCCUUGCACGGGCUUUGCUAGAUUUCCCCUGGACAUUUGAUACGUGUAUAUAUUUUUUAUGCUCCUGAAAAUAGUAUCAUUUAAAAAUUU